UAGAGUAACCUUGACAUGAGACCAUCUCGUGUUGUUUGUCACUCAGUGUUCGAUAUUCCGCCAGUAUUAUCUGUUGGAUACGGACGUGUUGAUGGUCUUCUCUGUACAUUUUAUUUUAUUUAUUAUGUCGAUAUCGGUAAGAAUACUGAACGAUUUUGCCGUUGCAUCGUUGGCAUGACGCGUGACGCUAACAUUGAACUUGUAAACAACGGAGACAGAUGGAUCACGUAUUCCUUAAAACUGGUGGAAGUAUUAGGAGAUAGACAAAGAAUUAAAUUAAAUAUACAUCAAGAUACAGUUUUAAUAAAGCCUAACGGAGUACAAUCUACGAAGAUCGAAGUAAAAAUCAUCAAAAUGUGCAAACCUAUCUGCAUAGUGUUAUAUAUUAUGUUAUCAGAUAUAGUAGCAAAGUCAAACUGGGCUAUGAAGCACACGAUCCUAGUCGAUCCAGAGCAACUCAAACUCGAAAUCAUGUGUGACUCUCACAAAGAAGAAUUAGAUUUUCAGUAUAUUGGAGAAAAUUCAACAAAAACGCUGCCUAUAACAUUUCAUAACAAGAACAGUAUUGCUGUACCUGUUACACUUUUUAUAUCACAUGAUGGACCAAAAUAUUCAGUAUUGAAAGUGGAUCUCAAGACGAACUGACACUAGUACUUAAGCCUUAUGAAAAAUGUACUGUUAAUGUAAAGUGUGAUAAAUUACAACUUACAUCAAUGCCACAGUAUUGGAAGGGUAAAUUGAUUGUACACGUUCAAUGUGACGAUGAUACUGUACUAUUCAAGAAAGACGUGCCUCUUUAUGCAAAAACAGGUACUUGUAAAAUUCAGGUAAUCGACACGGAGAUACCUAUAGUUGUGCCAAGGCAACAAGGCAAAGUGUUGAAUAUCGUUAAUUCGGGAACGUGGCGACGCACGUAUCCGCUACUGUCGUGCCAAUCGAGGGCUAUUCAGACGCGGCACAAGAUUUCUCCGUAAAGCCAGAUCAUAUAUUUCUGCACGCUGGAGACAACGGUUUAUUCCUAAUUGUAUAUAAGUCACAGUGUUUGGAUGCAAAAGCUGUAGAUAACGAAAGAAACGCAAGGAUUAAAUUGGUUGCUGGUAACAAUGUUUACCAUUACAACAUAUGUGCCGAACAAAUAUCUGAAAAUUAUUUACGUUGCAAUACACCUAAUAAUAUAAUAUUUUUGAGCCCUGCAACGUCGCCACAGAGUGUAGCUUCUAGUAGGUCUGGACCUUUGGAUCGGAAUUCACCAAUCAGCAUGGUGUCUAGCGUAGCCGUUGCGGGACACACAAUUCCAAUCAGAGCAACGCACGCUGCUCUAGUAUGGAAUAGCGUGAAAACGGGAAAGAGUGAAAUUAAGGAAUUCACAAUUCGCAAUACAAGCAAUAACAAGAUCAAAAUUCAGAUAGAUAUGUCGGAUGCGAAAAAGAGUUUUAAGUUUCUCAGCGACAGACAAACUGUCACUACAAGCAUGGUGUUGGCGAUGCAACGUCAAGAGAUCAAAACGCUCGCAGUUGUGUUUAGCCCGUAUCAUAUAGGUCCAGCAGUUGGAAAAAUUACCAUCAAACAUUACGCGACGGACAGCAGCGAUUCUCAGCAACACAAAAAGAUACCUUUGUACGGAUACGGCGGCUGUGGCAAAGUGAAAGUCUCGGACACAUUUAAAGAUGCGGGUGGAAAGAUGUGGUUGUCGCUUGGUACUUUAUCCUCCGAGACUACGGCUUUGACCGCGAACAUCACGUUGCAAAAUGUCGGCGACUUGAGUUCAUUUGCCAAAAUCAAAGUUGUACCAAAAGUUAUAUCUCCGACAAUGGAUUCCAGUUGGCACAUAAGUCAAAAAGAACUGAUACUCAAUCCCAGAGAGAAUCGGCGAGUGGCGAUAGAAUUCUAUCCCAAGAAAGAAGACUUUGCGAUAUUACAGCGUUUGGAAGUCUCACAUGUCGCGACGAUAAACGUCACUUACGGAGAUGAAUCGACCCGCUUGCGGAUACGCAGAUUGUACAAUAAGAUAAAAGAGACAGGUGAAUGACCGAAAACGAGAAUGAAGCAUUCAAGAAUAUUGUGCAUCCCAUAUGCAAAGCUUUUCCUGGAGAGCAAAUAAUUCCUGGUUUAACAUCAAUUCGUGAUACCAUUCAAAACUUGAGUGAUCUGUGCACCGGGUUCACCAGUACGAAAUAAUGCUCACAGGAAGAGUGCGCGGAUGAUACUUUGCCCGUUCAUUAUGACACUGACGAAUCACAGAUGGAUUACUCCCUUAUGAAUGACACUACUCACAUAGACGAAGCAGCUGGAGCAAGUUUUUUCACUUCUUCGAUGACGGUAGAAUGUGAAGCUCAGUAUUCUGAAUUAGGAGAGGAACAAUUCACCGUGACUCCGUCCACUGUCGUUCUCAAUCCUCCGAUCCGAAAUGAGGCAACUGUGACUGUUCUCGGUUCUUUCAAAGCAGCCCAGCCAUUUCAAACCGGCUGGUCGAAGUUAAAACUGUCGAACUCGAGUUAUUUUAGUGUCGUUCCCGCGAAAGGAAUGCUGCCGAGCAGAAGAGGUUUCCCUUUAAAAGUAAAAUGCUCGCAGAGAAAAAACGUAACACCCAUGCCGUACUCGAGAUUUAUACGGAGAACAGUAAACAGGAUGUACUGAUUAAUGUUAUUGUAAAACGACAGUGAUCAGAUAUAUUUACAAUAUGAUUGAAAUAUUUAUUUAUAGUUACUGUGAUAAAUUUUACAAAACGACUAUUUUUACUUAAUGCAAAACAAUUUUUUAAUUAAUUCUCACGUGUUCUUUCUUUCAUGUUCCCUUUCAUGUUCCUGCUUGGUGCCCAAAUUUAAUGUGGAAGUCAUUAACGAUGAAGUAAUUUUAAAUUGUGUAUUAUACGUAUUUCUCA